rnacentral:tRNA from 1 species
UACAGCAAAUGUAGAUAAUUAUGCUCAAGAUGCUGCAAAUAGAAUUGAAGAUAACAAGCAGUUCAUCCAAUCUGAAGCAUAU